rnacentral:lncRNA from 1 species
CAGUCCAAAGUCUCCAGCAGUAGCAAAUCCAGUAGCAACAGCAGCCUUCGGUGGAGCAGCCGGUGGCUCAGUCAGUGCCACCUAGGCACAGUCGCCAUUCACCACGACGCUCACCCUCUUCAUCUCUAGAGCGACGACCGUCUCGACAUCCUCAUCGAGAUGGACAGUCACAUUUUCGGCACUUCUACCGUACCAUCCAUCAUUCAUGGCAUUCUCCCUCUCCUUUUCGUGCACAC